rnacentral:rRNA from 1 species
GCCUGUUUAUCAAAAACAUUGCCUCUUGAUUUAUUAUAAAAGGUAAGUCCUGCCCAGUGAUUUCUUCAACGGCCGCGGUACCCUGACCGUGCAAAGGUAGCAUAAUCAUUUGCCCUUUAAUUGUGGGCUAGUAUGAACGGAUAAACGAAAGUCCAGCUGUCUCAUUUACUCACAUAAAAAUUAACUUGUAGGUGCAGAGGCCUAUAUUGUACUAAAAGACAAAAAGACCCUAUCGAGCUUUUCUUACCCGUGGGUAGUCCUUUACUUUUUAAAAAUUAGGCUCCCCACUCAUAAGUUUUGUUGGGGCGACACGGGAGCACAAAGAACCUCCCUAGUAUAAAAGGAUAAUCCUCUUUCACUUGACCCAGGAUGACUGAUCAAGAAACAAAGCUACCGUAGGGAUAACAGGCUAAUUCUCUCCGAGAGUCCAUAUUGACGAGAGAGUUUGGCACCUCGAUGUUGGCUUAGAGUUCCCCUACCUCGCAGAAGAUUUAGCGGUUGGUUUGUUCAACCAUUAAAACUC